rnacentral:rRNA from 1 species
UACAGAGGGGGCAAGCGUUGUUCGGAAUUACUGGGCGUAAAGGGCGCGUAGGCGGCCUGUUAAGUCAGACGUGAAAUCCCUCGGCUCAACCGGGGAACUGCGUCUGAUACUGGCGGGCUUGAAUUCGGGAGAGGGAUGUGGAAUUCCAGGUGUAGCGGUGAAAUGCGUAGAUAUCUGGAGGAACACCGGUGGCGAAGGCGGCAUCCUGGACCGACACUGACGCUGAGGCGCGAAAGCCAGGGGAGCAAACGGG